rnacentral:rRNA from 1 species
CCUACGGGGUGCAGCAGUGGGGAAUAUUGCACAAUGGGCGCAAGCCUGAUGCAGCCAUGCCGCGUGUAUGAAGAAGGCCUUCGGGUUGUAAAGUACUUUCAGCGGGGAGGAAGGUGUUGUGGUUAAUAACCACAACAAUUGACGUUACCCGCAGAAGAAGCACCGGCUAACUCCGUGCCAGCAGCCGCGGUAAUACGGAGGGUGCAAGCGUUAAUCGGAAUUACUGGGCGUAAAGCGCACGCAGGCGGUCUGUCGAAUCGGAUGUGAAAUCCCCGGGCUCAACCUGGGAACUGCAUCUGAUACUGGCAAGCUUGAGUCUCGUAGAGGGGGGUAGAAUUCCAGGUGUAGCGGUGAAAUGCGUAGAGAUCUGGAGGAAUACCGGUGGCGAAGGCGGCCCCCUGGACGAAGACUGACGCUCAGGUGCGAAAGCGUGGGGAGCAAACAGGAUUAGAUACCCCGGUAGUC